AUUGAAAACAACCGAAGGUCGACGCUGUGCUCGAUCUCUAUAAAGUAUUUUUGGUUAGGUUAAUAGCUGUGUUAAGGAUAUUAAACAUGAUCAAAUAGAGAUACUUUGGUUGAUGAGAUGGACGUUGCCGGAGAUUUGACCCUACAAUGGGUCGAGGAAGUAGGAAAUGUAGUCCACGAAGAAGUGAUAUGCGGCUUAGAAGCGGAUUUGACUACUCCGGAGGAGGAGGUGAUCGGUGCCUGCGAGGAAGUGAGCGUGGAGGACACUGUAGAGACAGUUACAGAGUCUUGCCCUGCUCCUGACUCUGAAAUCCUCCUUGUACCGCAGUCAAAUGAUAUGGAAUCUAUCUACAUCGUACCACAGGAUGGCCAAGGUCAUGAUUAUCUCAACAUCCAGGUGACGGAGGAAGUGAUCACCGAUAAUUGGGACAGGCCAGGGCAGCAUGAUGGCAUUGACAUACCAGAGACCAAAGUGUCACAUGACAAUUUGUUAGAAUACGAUGAUAUGGAGAUACCAUUGCCAAUUGAUCAAGAUUCUUAUACAAACACUCGUCCGUAUCCAUGCGACUUUUGCAGUCGUAGAUUCAGGAAAAAAGCCAAUCUGAUGAACCACAUGGUAGCACAUCAAACUGAUCGCCCUCACGGAUGUAAUUUAUGUGGUGCUCGAUAUGUUCGGAAAUGUGACUUGAUGAACCACUUGAAGAUCCAUGCAUAUGCGCCAUCCCGUGAUGGGUUGGAUGAUGAUUUGAAUGAUGACGAUUCCCUUGUACCAGAUGAAGAAGAAACAAACAAAGGUAGACGCAAAAAAGUUCAGUCCAGUGCACCACGAAAGCGCAAAAACAAUGCUGCGGCAGCUAAGAGGGCUGCACCGGAAAUCAAAGUUGAAAUGGGCAAAUAUGUAAACAAAUCUUACGAUUACGUCGACGAAGAUAUGCGUCUUCUUGAAGAAAUGACCACUAGGAAUUCUGCACGGGGUAAUAAUUAUGCUUCGAGUUCGAGGUGGGGUGAUCAAAUGUCUCCAGAGUUGACAGAACCACAGCCACCACGUUGGCCUAUUACGGAUCCAACCAAACCGUACGUUUGCCAACAUUGUGGUGUAGGAUUUGCCAGAGAAAAAGCACUGGCUUCGCACGCACGCGUUCACGGUGGCGACAGUCCAUUCGAAUGCACUUCGUGUGGUGAUAUGUUCUGGGAUGUUAACACUUUGCGAGAACAUGUAAGGACUAAACAUGCUGGCACUGUGCAAUCGGACUUGGAAGAGUACGAUAAUGAUGCAACUUACACUGGCGAUGAACGAUUCGGGGAAUUCUACUGCGAUACAUGCGGAGUACCUUUCCAUCGCCUGGAUCUUCUCAAACGUCAUAGAAAGAUACAUGUUAAACAAGAAAACGAUGUGAUGACAGAGGGCUCCAGCCAGCACCAUGUGUGCAAUGUUUGUGGAGAAUGGUUCCAGGAGGCUUUGGCAUUACUAGCACACGCUGAGCUACAUGCCAGAUCACCUACUCGCCGUUGCUUGCUAUGCGGCCAACGGUGUCGAGAUGAUGCAGAAGUUGCAGAGCAUGUUCGUCAGGUGCACGCUGAAGAUGCACCCCCUAAUACCUGCACACUUUGCGGUAAGACUUGCAAAGAUAAGCGCAGUUUGAUUAAGCACUCUUGGGUUCACAAUGCCGAUAAGACAUUUGGAUGUACAAAGUGUGGAAAACGCUUCCAUAGCAAGGCCAGACUUCGAAGGCACAUGGUAUCCCAUCGUAACAAGAUGGUUGCUUGCGAUGAAUGUGGUGAAGAGUUUCCCGAUGGUAGAGCUCUGGUAAGCCAUCGUCAUUCGCACAACAAGGAUUUGGGCGGCCGUUCUUUCCCUUGCAGAGAAUGUGGAAAGACAUUCGGUAGCCGUAGCUCGCAGCAAAUCCACAUUCGCAUACAUACGGGUGAAAGACCCUAUGGAUGUCGUUUUUGUUGGAAGGCAUUUGCUGAUGGCGGAACUUUGAGGAAGCACGAACGUAUCCAUACCGGUGAAAAACCUUAUGGCUGCGCCAUAUGCCCUCGGGCUUUCAACCAGCGUGUCGUUCUACGUGAACAUGUAAGGGCUCAUCAUUCGGGUCCAGAUCCAAAGUGUCAUGGCAGUAUGACCCCGUACUUAUGCAAAGUAUGUGGAGAGUCUUAUGCUACUUCUGAAGAAAUAGUUGCCCAUAUAGUGCAGCACUGCGAUGACAAUACCGCUUUGCGCCGGCAACCACAAACCGGUCCGAGGAAAUACAAACGCAGGCGUAAGCUUAAGCCUUAUGAAACAAAUGCCAUUCCUCCUCGUAUGGCUGUGAGCUUUGAAACGCCAGAAGUUGCGUCAGAUUCAGAUGACAAUACAAAACGAAAACUUGGGAAAAAGAAUAAGCAGCAGCACAGGUCAAAUGUGGAAGAAGGAUAUCAAAAUGUAUUGAAAAGUUUUGAAAGCUCCCUUCAGAAUAUAAGCUCGAUAGUAAGUAACUCUAAAGCUAACCCGGCCAAAUCUAAAGUUUCUAAGAAGAAGCUUAAGAAGGAAGAGAAAAAAAGCGAAACACAGACUUCAGCUCAGACUGGCAGACCAAAAAUGAUCCACACUCAAAAAACUCGUGUGCCAGUUCAAGUUGGCGGUGACGGAGUAAAAAGAGGACAGAAAACUAAGACCAUGGUUACUAGAACUCCCAAAGUUAUGCCAAACGAGCACAAAACUGGGAUAUUCCCUGGUGGGGAAAGGAAUAGACCCCGAACCAAAAAUGUCAGUUAUCAUAUUGAAGGGAAGCUUCAACUUACCUCAGCAACAUUCCCAAAACCAAAUGAUGAGGCGGAGAAGUUACAAGUUACUUUUACAGAUAAUGUAAAACUUGAACCUGGAUUGCAAAAGUCCAGUGGUAUUCACAGCAACAAUAAUGGUAAUAUUGUGGCAGUCACGCCCAAGGCUGAGCCUGUGCCAAGAAAAAAAGCAGUCGUCGUGAAAAGAAUGAAAAAACAGAAGCAAGUGGUGAUCAAGGAAGAACCGAAAGAUGAGGAUAUGUCCCAACAUUCAUCUCAAAACAAUAAUAACCCAUUAGAAAAUAAUCAAAUAACUCAUAUGAUGGAUCAUGGUAUGGAUGGCAACAAUUUAGAAGUUGCCUACGAAACGAGCAUCGCCAAUGCCGUAGAGGAAUCUAUUCUACCCGACCUAGAGGUACCGGUAGAUCACGAGGAAAUUGAAAAGGAAAAUUUCCAAAUCAGUGUUAAAAUGCUUGAAGCCACACCUAACAGAAUGUUAACCGUACAUCAUGUUAUAACUCCAGUCGAUGAAGUGCCGGAAACUAUAAUACCAGAUGCGUUGGAAUAUACAUGUGAAAUGUGCUCGGCUGUGUUUUCAAGUCGUGCCGAACUUCUGGUACACGUCCCGAUACAUAUUUGAUUGCAUUUGACUCAUGUAAUGUCUAAAAUAUUCAGGUUUGUUCUAUUAUAGGCCUACUUCGGUCUUAUCAGAGUUUCAUUUUAAUACCGUUGCGGAUGGGUGGAUAAAGUCGGCUCAUCUAUUCAUUAAAAUUGGUGCAAGCGCUAACGUCGAGUCUUUGCAUCCUGCAUGAGGGAUUUAUAAAACAUGUGGUGUGGGAUGCAAUGGGCAUAAUACAGACGAGUGAAAUAAUUGUUAUACUCAGGAGUCGUUGGACUUUAAAUGACUUAUUUGGUAAUAAUUACAUACAGCAGCUGGUACAGUUGUACAAUUAAAAAGAAAAAAAUUAUAUCAGUAUCGAAUUUGCAAGUCAUUUUAUUACAUGAGAUAAAAUAAUAUAGAUUAAAGGCAUAUUGAAAACAUGAUGUACCUAAAUCAUGAAUAUGUAAGUAAUUGUGGUGUAUCUUUAUAUUACUAAUUAAAAACAAAUAAUUAAUCUGUAGGAUAUUAAAGUGUUGUAUGGUAAAACCUUAUCAAUCUAAGAAUCUUAUAACAUAAAUACAAACAAAUAAUGUAUGAGUUCAGUUGUAAUUUAUGCUCUACUAUACAAUAAUCGCAUAUCCCAUAUAGGGAUACGAGAUUGCUUUCACCGGGUAAAAAUAGUAAGUUGUACAUAUUAUUAUCUUGGGUAUAGUACGGUGGUGCAAUUUACUGUUAAUUGUAGCUGUAUUUUUCUUUGAAUAAAUCAUUAAUAGAUAAAUGUUUUGUUGAAACGCGUGAUGAUAAAACCCGCAGAAUUUACUAUGGAUAACAUAGACCUAAAGUUGGAUAAUAAUUGUACGGAUAGUACUAGAUAAGUACACAGAUUGCCCAAUCGAAAAUGUGUUAUGUGAUUUCAUAUUUACCAGCCUGGGAAGCAUAUCGUUUAUUACGGAAAUGAAUAAUCUGAAGUUCA
rnacentral:misc_RNA from 1 species